AUCAAUGCGCGUGUCUUUGAAGAUUAACUGUUACUUCGCUUAAAAACCCCAAAUGUUUUUCGAUAACCUGGAAUAAAGAGGAGUUGGAUAAUUUUACUGUAAACCGACGGAUAAAACGGCCGUCUACGUCGACCCUGCAGCAGUACGGCCCGCUGUCUGUCCGCCUCACAUUGAGGAUGUCCAGGUCCAUCUGUCCAUCCAGGACGUCCCCCGUGAGCCGGUACCUGUCGUCAGCCUGCAGCGUCAAGCUCCUGAAAGAGAAGAACCAGAGGAGGAGGCUGACCUUGGAGAUGACCCCGUUCUCAUCCGUCUGCACCAGGAUGCUGCUGCACCAGAAGGUCCCGCAGCCUCGACCCCAGCAGACCCGACUCAGCCCGAACCGAUUCACCGAGUACUGACAGGACAGAGAGGCCACGCCCCCCUCCAUCACCUUAAAGCAGGAGACAGACAGCAGUGG